rnacentral:rRNA from 1 species
GACGAACGCUGGCGGCGUGCCUAAUACAUGCAAGUAGAACGCAGUUGCGAACGGGUGAGUAACGCGUCGGUAACUGCCUGGUAGCGGGGGAUAACUAUUGGAAACGAUAGCUCAUACCGCAUACUACCAGAUGGACCUGCGUUGUAUUAGCUCGUUGGUGAGGUAACGGCGCACCAAGGCCACGAUACAUAGCCGACCUGGGAGGGUUGGCGGGCACACUGGGACUUGGACACGGCCCAGGCACCUGCGGGAGGGAGGAGGAGGGAAUCUUCGGAAAUGGGGGGAACCCUGACCGAGGAACGCCGCGUGAGUGAAGAAGGGUUUCGGAUUGGAAAGCUCUGUUGUGAAGGAAGCGGUACUUAACCAGAAAGGGACGGCUAACUACGUGCCAGCAGCCGCGGUAAUAC